AAACGUUGUUACAGUUAGUUCUCACUUUGCCUUCAACUAGAAUACGAAGAGACAUGUUCUGUGAUUUGUUCCAAAUGAUCAUGGAUAUGGUUUCUGGGCUAAUCUUCCCAAGUAGUGAUGAUGAAUCCGGGGAAGCUGAAAGCGCCGAAGCCAGUUGAAAG